CCUACGGGGGGCAGCAGUGGGGAAUAUUGCACAAUGGGGGAAACCCUGAUGCAGCGACGCCGCGUGAGUGAAGAAGUAUUUCGGUACGUAAAGCUCUAUCAGCAGGGAAGAAAAUGACGGUACCUGACUAAGAAGCCCCGGCUAACUACGUGCCAGCAGCCGCGGUAAUACGUAUGGGGCAAGCGUUAUCCGGAUUUACUGGGUGUAAAGGGAGCGUAGACGGCAGCGCAAGUCUGGAGUGAAAUCCCAUGGCUUAACCAUGGAACUGCUUUGGAAACUGUGCAGCUAGAGUGCAGGAGAGGUAAGCGGAAUGCCUAGUGUAGCGGUGAAAUGCGUAGAUAUUAGGAGGAACACCAGUGGCGAAGGCGGCUUACUGGACUGUAACUGACGUUGAGGCUCGAAAGCGUGGGGAGCAAACAGGAUUAGAUACCCCAGUAGUC
rnacentral:rRNA from 1 species